UACGUAGGGACCAAGCGUUGUUCGGAUUUACUGGGCGUAAAGGGAGCGUAGGCGGCAAUUCAAGUCAGUUGUGAAAUCUCCGAGCUUAACUCGGAACGGUCAACUGAUACUGCUUUGCUAGAGUACAGAAGGGGCAAUCGGAAUUCUUGGUGUAGCGGUGAAAUGCGUAGAUAUCAAGAGGAACACCUGAGGUGAAGACGGGUUGCUGGGCUGAUACUGACGCUGAGGCUCGAAAGCUAGGGGAGCAAACGGG
rnacentral:rRNA from 1 species